UAUACAUGCAAGUCGAGCGGACCUCUUCGGAGGUUAGCGGCGGACGGGUGAGUAACACGUGGGCAACCUGCCUGUAAGACUGGGAUAACUCCGGGAAACCGGAGCUAAUACCGGAUAGUAUCUUGAACCGCAUGGUUCAAGUUGGAAAGACGGUUUCGGCUGUCACUUACAGAUGGGCCCGCGGCGCAUUAGCUAGUUGGUGAGGUAAUGGCUCACCAAGGCAACGAUGCGUAGCCGACCUGAGAGGGUGAUCGGCCACACUGGGACUGAGACACGGCCCAGACUCCUACGGGAGGCAGCAGUAGGGAAUCUUCCGCAAUGGACGAAAGUCUGACGGAGCAACGCCGCGUGAGUGAUGAAGGUUUUCGGAUCGUAAAACUCUGUUGUUAGGGAAGAACAAGUGCGAGAGUAACUGCUCGCACCUUGACGGUACCUAACCAGAAAGCCACGGCUAACUACGUGCCAGCAGCCGCGGUAAUACGUAGGUGGCAAGCGUUGUCCGGAAUUAUUGGGCGUAAAGCGCGCGCAGGCGGUUUCUUAAGUCUGAUGUGAAAGCCCCCGGCUCAACCGGGGAGGGUCAUUGGAAACUGGGAAACUUGAGUGCAGAAGAGGAGAGUGGAAUUCCACGUGUAGCGGUGAAAUGCGUAGAGAUGUGGAGGAACACCAGUGGCGAAGGCGACUCUCUGGUCUGUAACUGACGCUGAGGCGCGAAAGCGUGGGGAGCGAACAGGAUUAGAUACCCUGGUAGUCCACGCCGUAAACGAUGAGUGCUAAGUGUUAGAGGGUUUCCGCCCUUUAGUGCUGCAGCUAACGCAUUAAGCACUCCGCCUGGGGAGUACGGUCGCAAGACUGAAACUCAAAGGAAUUGACGGGGGCCCGCACAAGCGGUGGAGCAUGUGGUUUAAUUCGAAGCAACGCGAAGAACCUUACCAGGUCUUGACAUCCUUUGCCACUUCUAGAGAUAGAAGGUUCCCCUUCGGGGGACAAAGUGACAGGUGGUGCAUGGUUGUCG
rnacentral:rRNA from 2 species